GAUGAAGAACGUAGCGAAAUGCGAUAAUUAAUGUGAAUUGCAGAAUUCCGUGAAUCAUCGAGUCUUUGAGCGCACAUUGCGCCUCAUGGCAUUCCUUGAGGCAUGCCCAUCUCAGCGUUAGAAAAUAUUCUCAAAUUUUAGUUUUGUGCUAAAAUUUGGAUCAUGUCAAGGAAGCUAUUACUAUUAUUGUGAUCGCUCUUUGGAAAUUGAUAGGUCUUUGAGUUGCUACUCAUAGAACGUGAUGAAUCUUUCUUCGUUCUAUUGUAAUUCACUCUGGUAGUCCUAAAACUUGUAUGCCUGUGGCAUAUCUUGUAAUUUGACCUGAGAUUGGGUAGGGAUACCCGCUGAACUUAAGCAUAUCAAUAAGCGGAGGA
rnacentral:misc_RNA from 1 species